AAAAAAGUUGCGCAGCCUUUUGAAAAAGGGACGAUCCCUUUUGUUUUUUUCUGGAGAAAUCAACACCAAAAGAAACGAUCCCACCCCCCUUUGGAUUGUCUUCUUCACGAAACCACCCUGCCCCUCUCCCAGUCUUUAUCCUUCGAACACGACCCCCCCUCCAUCGGUCUGGAAUUCUUUUUCUCCAAAUCCUCUCACCAACCUAACGACCGGAGGGACAAAGAAAAACAGAGCAAUUGCAGUUUCUUCAUCUCCUCUCGCCCACCAGUGGCGAACUCGCCGAAACAUACACAUACAACUUCCUUCUUGCUUCUUCUUCAGCAACCAAGCCAAAGUCAUCGCUCCGACCCAUGAACGUUAAUCGUCAAACGACCCCAUCUCUGCCUGAAACUCACCGGAAAAACGAGCUCCACCAGCUCGUCGGACUAACGAGUUCCAGAUGAGACCCCUUCCUCAAGCGACCAAACCAGCUUCUUCAUCACCGGAAGUGGCCAGGAGUCUGAUGACAACCUUCGAGCUCUAGAACUAACGAACAAAGGCGCUGAAAACAGUGAGGAGUCGCAAAACUCAUUUAACACCCUUUUCCGGCGAGUCUCGAGUUUUUGGUUGAGCAUCAAUGACUGAGUAUCAACGACCGUUUCCCUUGGUUCCUUGUCGAAGUCCGUUCACUAGUUCUAUUUAGUUAAAAGGUCUGAUAGUUGUUCUUCGAGUUGAAAUUUAGAGUUGUUCGUUGUUGAUUGCCGGAUUUGUUGGCUGUUGUUGGCUGAGCUUCGAUUUCAAGUAGUGGGAUGCCUGUUCCCAUCAUAUUUGCCCAAUUGCAUUGAGUCGCCUGAAUUUGUUAUUACUAAUUGCUUCCUGGCUUCACUGCAAUCUACAGCCGAACCUUUUUCCUCAGGUAUGUUUUUGACCUUUUCUCUGUUUUGAAGCAGAGUAUUUGCUCUGUUUGGAGACUGUGUGUGUUCUGCUACAACUGCUGCAUAAGUGAUGAAAAUUUUAUUCCUUUGGUCAUUUGAACAUAGUGUAAUUGUUGUAGCUGUUUCGAUGCUUUUCUUUAUUGAGUCUGCAUUUGCAGCUGAUGCAUAUUCCUCCCUCCUGCUUUCAAUUUUAGACUGAGUAACUUUCUCCAUUUUUGCCAUUGGAUCAGUGUUAACAACAUUACCAUUUGAAUUGCAUUAUAGCUAUUUCAGUGACGGAGUUUAAUGCGAAAUUGAUAAAUUUGUUUGGUUAGUGAUUAUUUAGAUCCACGUCGUCUUAAAUGGAUUUGGAUUUUAAAGGAAAGAUAAUUUUGGAAAGAACAGUGAAUUGCCUUAGAAUCAUGCGGAUUAAUCAGAAAUUGCUUUGAGUUUAAACGCGAAAGAGAAAUUAGACUUUAAAAGUUUUAUUGCUUCUGUAUUAUUGUUUUACUAGCUAGCAACACGUUUCUGGGCCAUAGGACUUGGACUUAAUAUUUUUAAAGAAUUUGAGUUGAAAUGACCAUGAAACGAACUUUUAUUUUAUUUAUUUUUUUGUUUUAUUCAUACUUUUCUUGUUAACCAUUAGCAACAUCUUUAGUCUGAGGUGAGCCAUUCACAAUUUAAUAAAACAUGGCCCUCGUAUUAAUUUCAUAACCAAGAUAUAAAAAUGACACUAGUUCGUAGUUUGCUUUUGGCACGUUUAAUAUACUAUCGUAGUUGUGGACACGUUCGCGUGACAUGGUUACGAUUUUCUAAAAACAAAAUCAGAGUAUGCGUUCGCACAACUUCGACCAAAUAUUCUUAAUAAUAAUAAAGCGUUAUUAAUUAUGGACACGUUUGCGUGACAUAAUUUUUGACACGCCAAACAAACGGGUAUACGUACGCGUGACUUGUUUAAGAUGUUUUCUUAAUUAAAAGAGUUAAAAGCACAUAGGUUCUAAAACGAGUAAAAAAGUUUUAAUAAGCCAAGUAUGAUCAAAGCGACCGUGCUAGAACCACGGAACUCGGGAGUGCCUAACACCUUCUCCUGGGUUAACAGAAUUCCUUACCCGAAUUUUUGUGUUCGCAGACUAUAGUACAAAGUCAAUCUUUUCCUCGAUUCGGGAUUCGAACCGGUGACUUGGGACACCAUAAAUUAUCCCAAGUGGCGACUCUGAAUUUUUAAACAAACAAAUCCCGUUUCGACUGUCCUUUAAUUGGAAAAACUCCCUUAUAUUUAUACCAUUUGUGGGGUGUAGUAAAAAGGAGGUGUGACAGCUCUGGCGACUCUGCUGGGGACCGAACCCAAAAUCUCUGGUUCAGGGUUCAAGAAUUCGAGCUUGUUAAUGAUUUUUACUUGGCUUCAUUUAUUGUUAAUAUUACUGUAUUCUGUGAAUCUUUAUGCUAAAUGUUAUUUGUUUACUGCUUUAUUAUUAUUUGAAUUGUAUAUAAAUAUUUUCUUACGCCACCUCUUUGAGUCUUCUGAAAAUGGUGCACACGUUCGCGUGAUCCGCUUUUUCUGUAGAAAUUAUACCAAAUAGAACGAGGUUGCGCAAACGACAAGGCCGGGUAGACUUCAGUGCUCCCGGUACGUCGCCCCCUCUUCGGCCCCAGUUGUCCGCUCGGGUACCCAAGUCUAGACCAAAACCCCAGGAUUUAAACGUAGAAAAACAUAGCUUCAUGUCGGAUCCCUAGUAGGAACGCUUGUUUGCAUCGUGUGCAUUUGACUUAGGGGACCCAAUACAGGGGUUGGGUCCGUCUAGGGCAGGUGUACCUAAAAUAACAGACCAUCUUGAUGCAUCCUAUGUGCUAUAUGUUGCAUUUCUUCAAGGGUAAAAGGGUCAUUUGGCGGACCAAUGAUAGUUGAGGGCAAAUGAAAAAAGAUGAAAAAGAGGGUGAAGUGUGAAAAUAAAGCAAGUAGGGCCCAAUUAUAUUUUUUUGUCACAUUUUUGUUAAGAAUUAAAAAAAAGAGCUUGAAAAUUCAAAAAAAAAAGAUUUUGUACUUUUUCAUCAUUUUUUCGAAAAUACAAAAAAUGGAAAAAGAAAAUUCAAAAAGAGUUUACAUGUUUCAUCAUUUUUCAAAAAAAAAAUAUUUUCUUUAAAAUUAGUCGUUUUUGACUCCGACACAUUUGUAGUCAGGGUUCCCCAUCGUCUGUCACCAUCAGCAUGUAAUGUCCACUUGUGAAGCUCAUGUCCCAUCAGUCAAUUAUAGGCGCUUUCGUCUAAUUGCUGGAUCGCUUCCAUGCGCCUCGUGAAUUUGCAUUGCUGGUGCUCAAUUGCAGCCAUCCACAUUAAAUCAUGCAAGGCCUUGUCGAGAUAUUUCUUCUAGAAAUUGGCCUUCAGAUAACUCACAUAGUAACGGUGAUAUGCAUAGGGUUCCUGCCAUUCAGGCAAAUGUCGUAUAGAACUUAAAAUACUACCAUACUGAUCAGAUAUUAGACAAAUACCUGAACAUUGUUUGACAGUGUGUUGCUUCAAGUGGUUCAAAAAAAGCAUCCACGUCUCUUCGCUUUCAUUUGCACAAAUGGCAAAAGCUAGUGGAAAUAUUUAUUUGUUGGCAUCUACUGCAACUGCGAUCAAAAGCUUAAUAUCAUACUUUCCAUAGACAUGAGUACCGUCCAUGGAAAUUAUCGGACAGCAACGCACAAAACCAUCAAUUGCUGGUUUAAAUGACCAAAACACAUAGUUGAAAAUAUAUUCCAGUAUUCCCGGACUCCGCUCAUACCUCCAUUCAACAACAGUCCCGGGGUUAAAGUGUUUUAGUGCGGCCAUGUACCUGGGUAGAGAUGAAAAUGACUUAUCUCAGUCACCAUAAAUAAAUUCAAAUGCACGUUUGCGCCCGAGAUAUGCUUUUCUUUUAGUUAUAGUACACCCAUAUUUCUGGUGGACGGAUGUAAUACACUUUUUGAUCUUAUACCUAAUGGACACUUCCAAGUGUGGAAUCAAGACAAGAGAAAUCAAGUCUAUAUCCAAGUUGAAGUGAUUCUGAUUGAAUGUGUCCAUUUCACAUCCGUGGUUGCUAAUAUAUUUACCCACUUUCCACAACCCUGUUUCCUUUUUGAUUGCACGCAACAUCCAGUUACAACCCAUAAAGUGUCUAGGGAAACUUGUAUGGUCCCCAAACAUCAAUGUGUAGAAGUUGUAAAGGACCACUACUUCUUGUAAUACUUCUAGGAAAAACUAAUCUGCUCUGCUUAGCCAAUGGACAUACAGAACAGUCCUUAUUAUCAUCUAGAUCUUUAAGUUGUAUGAAAUCUAUGUUUUUCAUUGUACUAACAGAGGUGUGACCUAAUCUUUUGUGCCAAAGAAUGCCAUCUACUGCUGGUUUCUGAACUGUUGCCACUGAUGCUUGCCUCAAACUUCUAGCAAUGUGCUCAUCCUUCAGCACAUAUAGACCUCCCUUUUCCUACCAAUCCCCCUCAACCUGCCACUCCAAAGGUCCUGAAACACACAGAAGUCAGGAUAAAGGUGGAUAGAGCAACUGAGUUCCUUUGUGAGUUUUGACACAGACAACAAAUUAAAUUUGAAAUCAGGAACAUAUAUAGUACAUUCUUAAUCUCCAUAUCAUGAAGAAAUGUUGCACUACCAAUAUGAGAUAUGUUUGUCUUCUCACCAGUAGUCAAAUGAACUUGAUCACUACCAUGAAGAAGUGUGCAUCUGAUGCAUAAGCUAUUCCACUAACUAGGUUUGUUGAUACAGUGUUCAUGAUCCAUGAGAGCACAAUCGCAUUGCAUGUCUCCUAUUCCUCGUGUAAUUCCUUUCUAAAAGUCUCCUUCUUACACAUACCAGUUACAAAACUUAGCUUUCGCUUAGCUUGAAGAGCUAUUCGCAUCGUCCUUCGCCACAAUCCGUAGUUUUUAGAUCCGGUGAGUUGAAUUGGAAUCAAAACCGAGCUCGGCAUAUCAGAAGGAUGCAGAAAUAAAGGAUGAGUGUGAUCAAUUUUCUCCUCUGCCAUCUCUGGACUUUAAGCGAGAAUUUGAAACACACGAACACGGAAUUAUUCAGGAAGCAACCAAUAUCGAUUGCUUUGAUACCAUGUGUGAGUUGAGCUGAUUUCAAUCACAGCUCAUCCUCCAUUAAUGGAGGUUCCAAUGAGUAAAUCGAAAUUGCAAUAGAGAAGAUGAAAACCAGAGGAAAUAGUGAGAGAAGAAGUUUUUGUAUAUUUCUGUACAAAAUGAAAAUCUGAUACAUCAUACAUAUAUAUACGUAUAACUCUCACUAACUUAAUCUCUCAACUAACUAGUGCUAACCACCUCAGCCACUCUAACUAACUAGUGACAUCUGGAUGACUGCCCCACUAACUUGUCCAGCUGUCAUUCCUUCAGCUUCUUUCACACUGAUCACUUGUCUUUGUAUUAUUUAGGAUUUCAUUCCUUUUUUGACUUUGUACUAUUUAGGAUUUUCUUCCUUUGUCGGGUAGUAAUGAUCUCAUAUAGAACACCUUAUCAUGCAUUUCUUUAGAUAGUAGAUUUACUGAAGAAUGAAAAAGUAAGCACCUUGUCUUGUGUUUUCGGUUUUGUUUAGCCAAUGUGGUAUCAAUAAUUUAGUGAUGAUGUUGCUUUGCAGUUCAGUCUCUGAGCCGAGGGUCUCCCGGAAAUAAUCUCUUUACCCUCCGGGAUAGGGGUAAGGUCUGCAUGUACUCUACCUUCCCCAGACCCUACUGGUGAAUUCUACUUGGUUGUUGUUGUUAUUGAUGAUGAUUGUUUCUAACUAAAUAUGCAGAUAAAGGAAAAGAGGACAGAUAAAUAAAUUCUUUUUAAAUACCAAACAAAUUACUCUAGCCAUGUGAAUUGCACAACAUGUUUUAAAUAAUUCUUUAGGUUAUUGAACUUGUUCAGUGAUUUUAAGAGUCUAUUUGAUCUUGUAUAGCUAAACAAAAAAAGAAUGAAUAUUCACAUGGUAAUAGUCAUGGAAAAGUAGUGCAUUUUGGAGUAUAUAUUUGGAAAUGAAAACCAUCAAAGAAGUAUAAUUUAUAAAUUUAAUAAAUCUAUUCUUAAAAGGUUUAUGAACCAAGGUAUGUACUUUGCUACACGUCCUCUUGGUCCGAGUGACAUGCAUUUGAAGCAGAAUCAUUUGCUUGGCACUACUUUAAAUGAUGGUGGCCAUUUAUGAUGUUUCAUAGUGUAGUUCCAACCUUCUUGUGUACACGUGUUUGAGCAUCUUUCUUCUUUAUCAGUGUAUGUGUGCUUUGGGUUAUGUGUGUUUUAUCAGUCUUUACUGAGAUGUAUAAGGUGUCUUUCUGUAUGUUUGUGCAAGUCAAGCAUUAUAGAACUAGUGAAAUCAUGAAGAUCGAUGACAUAUUUGAUUCAUUGAUCUAAGAUAGUUUCAGCUAGAUCCAAGUAACUCUCAGUAACUUGGUCUAGCCAUAAACUGAGAAACUUUUGUGGUGGCUAGUGAAAGUUUGUGGUUUAGUCAUAACUGAUAAUGGUAAUGAACUUAUAUGCAUUGGCCUAUGAAUUCUGAGAUUAUUCUUGGAUACUCUAGUUUGUGAAUUACAAUGUAGGAUUUUAUAGGGUCUAAUUAUAGUUAAAUUUCCCAGCACACAUAUCACCUUGCUUCCGUGUGAAAGAGGGAGAUCAUGUUAUCAUUGGAUAGUGCAGGCCUUUGUCCAAGACUGUGAAGUUUAAUGUGUUAAAGGUGAUUCCAGCUGGUUCUGCUGGUGGUGGCAAGAAAGCAUUUACAGGAAUGUAAGCAGGGAUUUCUCGAGUUUAUUGUCACUUCUAGAGUAUGAAAAGUAAUCAUGUUUAAGACAGAAGGAGUGACGUUAAGAGUUCUCUACUAAAAGAACUUUGCAUUUGCCUUUGAAGGCUUACAUUUUUUAUGGAUACUCGCUGCUUAUCCUUAGUAAGGAUUUCAGAUUUCUGUUUCUCAAAGAAAUAAAAUUAUAGUUAAUUUGAGAUAAAAAGUGUUUGCUUAAUGAUUUUAUAUGAAUAAUAGAUGUUGAUUUUUCUUUAAUUUUGGUUGUCCCCUGUAGUAUGAUGUAGUUACUCCUGACACGGUCUCGGUCAGUUCACUCUUAUCGCAGUUUCUCUUAUGAACAUUGUAUGAACAUUGUGUGUUCUCUUUUACUAUAUGGAUGAAUUGACUUAUCUAGUAAUAAUUUCAUGCAAGCUCCAACUACCCCAGAAUUGAGAAUUAUUGUAUUUCAUCUAUUGACAUAAUUAUUUUAUAAUUUCAGGUCAUACAGUUUAAUAUUCAGUAAUUUAGCGGGUGGAAAAUUUCAACAUGACAAAGAGUUGUAGAAAUCAUUUGAAGAUUUUUAUUCGUUAAGAUUAGUUAUAUAAUGAAAUUAGUUAUUUAGUUCAAAAAGUUUAAGUUUAUUUUUUAAGUUACUGUGAUAUUAAUAUUUUGGAAGUACUUCCUCUUGUUUGUUAAGAUUUAACUAGAUAUAUUAUGGUUUGCUUAAUUAAUAUUGAUAUGUUUUGUUAUUUGUAUUAUUUUUUGAUUGAAUGUAGUAGCUAUUAUUAAUGGUGGCUAAACUUACUCUUAUAGCUUGUGACUUUUAGUGCCAAUUUAAUAGGAUAUACCAGCUAUAAAAUGAAUGAUAAAAGGUCAAAUUAAGAUGUUUAUACAUGAAUAUUGUAGCCAUUAAAUUGCUAUUAAAGAUGACUUUUAGCGGCGAUUGGGUUGAAUGUACUAGCGAUUAAAAUGGACGCUAAAAGGGCAUAAUAAUACGUUUUUCUAAGAGAUAUUGUUGCCACUUUAAUUGCCACAAAACAACUACCGCUAAAGGUAUGGAGUUCUAGCGAUAAUUGUUUUUAACUUUAGCGGCUAUAAAAUGGAUGUUAAAGGAGCAUUAUUAGCCAUUUUAGAGUGGGUUUAGCAGCUAUCAUAAUUGCCGCAAAUAUUUGCCGUUAAAGCAAAUGCAUUUUAGUGGCAAUAAGUCAUACCCUUUAGCAGCUUUUGAGAGAAACACCGCUAAAGGCUUUACUGACCCCGGUUUCAGUGGCUAAAUACCAAUUGUCGGUAAAUGAUAUAGCGGCUAUUGAUACUGCCGCCAAUGCUAUUUUUUAUUGCCGCCAAAGGCCUUUUGUGUAGUAGUGGUAGCCUGAGUGGUGGAAAGGGCUAACAGGGUAAAGUCCUCUUCAUGUCUCCUGGACAAGGCAUCCGCCACCUUGUUUUCUAUCCCUUUUUUAUAUUGCACCUUAUAAUCUAGUCCCAAAAGCUUUGUUAGGCCCUUUGUUGUAAUGUUGUAGUUACCUUAUGCUCUAAUAAGUACUUUAAACUCUGGUGGUCUGUCUUAACAAUGAAAUGCCCCCUGCAGAUAUUGUCUCCACUUGUCUAUGGCUGAUAGCACAGCUAUAUAUUCUUUCUCGUAAGUAGAAAUCCUUUUAUGUUUAAGAGCAAGAGCCUUACUAAAAUAAGUUAUAGCUCUACCAGGUUGCAUCAAUAUAGCCCCUAUCCCAGUGGAGCAUGCAUCAGUCUCCACUACAAAAGGCUUAGUGAAAUCAGCUAGAGCCAAAACUGGAACUGUUGCCAUAGCUUCUUUCCGCUGUUGAAAAGCCAAUUCUGCUUCCUCAUUCCAUUGAAAUGCAUUCUUUUUUAGUAGGUUUUUCCGGGGUCUAUUGAUUACUCCAUUGGACUUUACAAACCUCCUGUAGUAGCAUGUGAGCCCCAGAAACCCUCUGAGAGCCUUGAUAGAUUUUUGCACAGGACAAAACAAUAUGGCUUCAAUUUUAGCAAGAUCAGUAGCUACCCCUCUUCCUGAGAUAAUAUGUCCUAAAUAUUCCACUUUGUCCUGUCCAAGUGAACAAUUAGACAAUUUGGCAUAAAACUGCUCCUUCUAUAGUACUUCUAGCACUAUUCUAAGAUGAAGUGCAUGAGUUUCUAAUGUAGGGCUGUAGAUUAAUAUAUCAUCAAAGAACACCAACACAAACUUUCUCAAAAAAGGUUUGAAAACAUGAUUCAUUAGGCUUUGGAAAGUGACAGGUGCAUUGGUCAAGCCAAAGGGCAUGACCUUAAACUCAUAAUGUCCUAAAUGAGUUCUGAAUGCAGUUUUAAAAAUGUCAUUCUCGCUCAUUUUUAUCUGAUGAUAACCAGCUCUCAAGUCAAUCUUUGAAUAGAUGCAAGAUCUAUUGAGUUCAUCCACUAAGUCAUCCACCAAUGGUAUAGAAAAUUUAUCUUUAACUGUCAUCUUAUUAAACUCCCUAUAUAAUCAAUGCAAAAUCUUCAACUACCUGUUUCUUUUUAACUAAGAGCACUGGUGAGGAGAAUGGAGAGUGACUAAGCUGAAUAAUUCCAUUAGUCAACAUUUCAGUUAAUUGCUUCUCUAUUUCAUUUUUUUGAAAAUAGUUAUACAUGUAGGGUCUGAUACUCACUAGUGCUACAUCAGGAUUAAGGGGAAUGAAGUGGUCAUGGUCCUCCUUGGUGGUAAGGUCUUGGGCUCUGCAAACACCUUGGGAAAGUCCUG
rnacentral:lncRNA from 1 species